CGGGUGAGUAACGCGUGAGAAUCUGUCUUCAGGUCGGGGACAACCGUUGGAAACGACUGCUAAUACCGGAUGUGCCGAGAGGUGAAAGAUAUUCCGCCUGAGGAAGAGCUCGCGUCCGAUUAGUCAGUUGGUGAGGUAAGAGCUCACCAAGGCAGCGAUCGGUAGCUGGUCUGAGAGGAUGAGCAGCCACACUGGGACUGAGACACGGCCCAGACUCCUACGGGAGGCAGCAGUGGGGAAUUUUCCGCAAUGGGCGAAAGCCUGACGGAGCAAUGCCGCGUGUGGGAAGAAGGCUCUUGGGUUGUCAACCUCUUUUCUCAGGGAAGAAGACCUGACGGUACCUGAGGAAUCAGCCUCGGCUAACUCCGUGCCAGCAGCCGCGGUAAUACGGAGGAGGCAAGCGUUAUCCGGAAUUAUUGGGCGUAAAGCGUCCGCAGGUGGCGCAUCAAGUCUGCUGUUAAAGGCUGGAGCUUAACUCCGGUAGAGCAGUGGAAACUGGAAAGCUAGAGGGCGACAGGGGUAGAGGGAAUUCCCAGUGUAGCGGUGAAAUGCGUAGAGAUUGGGAAGAACACCGGUGGCGAAAGCGCUCUACUGGGUCGCACCUGACACUGAGGGACGAAAGCUAGGGGAGCGAAUGGGAUUAGAUA
rnacentral:rRNA from 1 species